CAAAUACUCCCUCCGUCCGGAAAUACUUGUCAUCAAAAUGGAUAAAAGAAAAUAUAUCUAGACGUUUUUAUCCAUUUUGAUGACAAGUAUUUCCGGACAGAGGAAGUAGAAA
rfam:Triticum urartu cultivar G1812 contig1397452, whole genome shotgun sequence.